rnacentral:rRNA from 1 species
UACGAGGGGGGCAAAUGUUGUUCGGAAUCACUGGGCGUAAAGGGAGCGUAGGCGGGUUUUAAGUCAGGUGUUUAAUCCCGGGGCCCAACCCCGGACCGGCACUUGAAACUGGGAAUCUUGAAUAGUGGAGAGGUCAGUGGAAUUGGGGGUGUAGCGGUGGAAUGCGUAGAGAUCCCAAGAACACCAGUGCGAAGGCGGCUGACUGGACACAUAUUGACGCUGAGGCUCGAAGCAUGGGAGCAACAGG